AUUGAACGCUGGCGGCAUGCCUUACACAUGCAAGUCGAACGGCAGCACGGGUGCUUGCCCCUGGUGGCGAGUGGCGAACGGGUGAGUAAUACAUCGGAACAUGUCCUGUAGUGGGGGAUAGCCCGGCGAAAGCCGGGUUAAUACCGCAUACGAUCUACGGCUGAAAGCGGGGGACCUUCGGGCCUCGCGCUAUAGGGUUGGCCGAUGGCUGAUUAGCUAGUUGGUGGGGUAAAGGCCUACCAAGGCGACGAUCAGUAGCUGGUCUGAGAGGACGACCAGCCACACUGGGACUGGGACACGGCCCAGACUCCUACGGGAGGCAGCAGUGGGGAAUGUUGGACAAUGGGCGAAAGCCUGAUCCAGCAAUGCCGCGUGUGUGAAGAAGGCCUUCGGGUUGUAAAGCACUUUUGUCCGGAAAGAAAUCCUUGGCUCUAAUACAGUCGGGGGAUGACGGUACCGGAAGAAUAAGCACCGGCUAACUACGUG
rnacentral:rRNA from 1 species